CAAGCUUUACAAACAAAAAAACAAAACAAAACAAAACAACCCAGAUUUUUAAGGGCAUAAAGUGUACGAAAAUGUUGACAUGGAUGCCGUUGCUUGAUGAAGGAGGGCAGUUUAAAAAAAACAGCAAUGACAAUGUCUGGUUUGAGUUUUUGGAAUUGCAACUCAGUGAUUCAGAAGAUAAAUAGUUUUCAAACCAGUUUAUCUGGAGAUGUUUAACCAUGAAGCACAUGCAGAAAUGUUUUGUGUCUAAUGUAUCUUUUACUCCAGCUGAGUCAUAGGAUUCAGCUGAAAGUCAUCAGAAGCAGGUGAACCACCUCCCAUCAUGGCCGGCUCAGAAUGAGCAUCAGUUACACCAAUCGCUGUCUGUCGGACUGGAACCCGUAUUGAUUAACAAGCCCGAUAGACUCGGUGGCCCCAGCCACCAACUGUCGACUACGCCUCCUGCCUUCUGUGUGCAACGGGGACGGUGGGUUUAGGGUUACGCGCUGGCCCCCUGCAUACCAAAUUUAAAAGGGUGGAAAUGGAAUUACUGCAUCUGCUUAGAAGUCAAUUUCUGCAUUCUGCAGGCUGGCCGACCCGCUCUACCAUACAAGCUCUGCUCUCGUGCUUUCCCACCCGAUCUUUCUCCAGAUUCUCCCAGGGCUCUCAGUGUUCCUGAUGCCAAAGGGGGGAAAAAAGUGGGUGUGUGGGGGUGUUUCUUACAGAGUCACUGAGGCAUGCUGUGAAACUCUGAAAUGUUUUUCUUUGUAUCCUUCUCAUGGAAAGUUUGGCCGUCUCACAAACUCACAGCCAUUGUUUCUCUGAUAAUGUGCUAAUAUUUCUAAUGAUUAAUAUUCAUUAAUGCUGACUUUUGCUACUAUUGUGGGUCAAGGCUUUGUGAGUCCCAAGGGAGUCUAAAGAAUGUUUAGAAGAACAGAUCUGUAGAAAGUCUAUAAUAACAUUUUAGGUUAAAAAUUACCUGAAAAGCUGAAAAUCAUCCGGAAUCAACUAAAAGAUUCUGAUGUCUUUACAGGACACAAAUACAUAUUGUCACCUUUGCAAAACAUUGGCCAAAGUCGUUUCUUGACAAAAGUGUUUUUUCUUUUGCGUUUUUUUGGCAAGCGAUGACUUAGGUCAUUAUUUUAGGAAAGUGACGAUGUUAAACAUUUCAAAGUGGAGGCAUGUGUUUUUAUUGUAGGGUGAGAAACUUCAUUUGGUAACUUUAAUGACCUCCCCAAACCUUUUCUGAAGACUUUGAGACCUAAAUAAGUUUAAUAUUUUCUUUGGUUUGCUGCUGAUUCUCUCUCGGUGUGUGGAGUUCCUGCUGUGCUGCACCAGGGACGUUUCCAGACACCCAGAGGACCUGUGGGACUCUGCAGCAAAGCCAGACUGUUGCAUGUGGUUAAAAGUUAAAGAGGUGGACUUCAUUUACUAGCUAGGUGACUUCUGAAGGCAAUUGGAGUCUGAAUAUGAAUGCAAAACAUUAGUGUUCAUAUUCUAUCCAUAAAAUUGCGCAAAUUGAAAUUACCAAAAUAAAUGCUCUUAUGGAAACAUAGCAAUUUCAAAAAAUUUCACGUUUUUCGGUAAAAAGUUCUUGCACUAGGAUGAGGUAAUUUUUUCACCGUAUAGAUAUAGAUGUAUUUCGCAAAACUGCAACAUAAAAACCUUUUUCUCAUCACGAGUCACGUGAUCAACAGCCAGAUGUUACUACUGGUGACAGAAAGUGGAGGAUUGUUUUUGUUUUUUUCAGCUGGCUCCACCAGAGCUCUUACAGCAUCACUCAGUUCAUAAAAAGUUUUGUCCAAUGUGUUCGACCUCUUCAGUAAAAUCAACUAUUUCAAUUUCCCCAAAAUGCAGCAUAGCUGCUCCCAGGUAGGCGGGGCUUGUCACUCCAACGCCUGAAUAAGAUGCUGAUCAGACAGCACAUUGGCUGAAUGAUAUAUUUAAUGUAACUGUUCACAUCCCUUUCUGCCAUGAUAUUUAGCAACUCAUCACGUUGACAAUCUUAUUUAUGCAUGAUCUUAAUUCCAUUUCUUAUUUAAGGGAAACAUUGCUAUUGGGAAAUUGUGUUUUUUUUUUUUUUUUACAUUAGCAGAAUUUAGACAAAGGUUGUGGAAGUACAAAUACUGUUUUGUGUUCUUUCAUUUGUGAAAAUGUUUUUAAAAAAAUGUAGCCUACCUAUUUCCUUUUUCUUAGAAAUAAUGCUUAGAAGUGAUGUGUUCAUCCAUCACACGUAAUCACAUUAAAAUGCAUUAAAGUUUGUGUUCAAACUCUUUCAAGGCACCGUACAUGUGAGUUAGAUGUUAUAGAUUUCUUUGACCUUUCUGAACCAGCUAAUGAAAGAGAACUUGUUGAUGACACUUCUGUCUCAUACAGUUUGUUGUCUUUUUAACUUCUUAGUAAAUCAUAGAGGAGUGGAAGUCUCUAAUUACCCAGCCAUGACCGGCGGAAAUUUGAGUUCCUGCUCCCUUCUGCUGCUCCUGGCCAGUGAUGGAUGGAGGAUUUCUUCCUUCCUACCACAGAAAGAAAAGUGUGUUGGCUGCUGCCAGUGUGGUUUUUCCAUGCAUGUAUUUAUACCUGGAGGCUUGACAGAUUCCACAGGAAGGUGAAAAGUCAACUUUGACCCAGAGAGAACCUGGCAGAGGCCCCCACCUGGUCUGUCAACCCAACUGUUCCCACUGUAAGUCAUUUCCACCUCAGAGAUGCAUCUAUGUUGCUUUAUUCCCCCAUAACUUUGGAUAUAUUUUUUAAUUGCUCCCAACAAAAUUAAUGUGAUUACAUCCAUGCUGGUGUUUGCACAAUCAUCCACUCUGUUCUUACUCAUUUUUUAAAAACAUUUCCACUGUUAUUGCACCUCUGUUUUUCUGCACUGAUAUACUGUAUUGCAUAUUGUUUGGAUCUUGUUUUAAAUGGUCAAUAUAAUGUAUAUUUUUGAAAAAGUGAUCCAACUCAGUUGCACAUCACUUGGAUUGUGAGUCUGGUGUGAUUAUUUCAAAUAACUGCUCAGUAUAUUCUGAUAUUCUCUGGCACAGUAUAUUAUUAUCAUCAUUAAUCUUGUUUUUUUGUAUAUUGCUUUUAACACUUUAGGAACUUUUUGUGUUAACCUUUUUAUCUGUUGCUGCUGCUAAUGACCUUAAAUAAAACAGCUGUGUGCUUAAAUAUAUUUUCAUCAAUUAUAUCAAAUCAGUUUUCUUCUGUAUGCUACCAAAUUACAUCAUUGUGAAAAUAUGUUCAAAAUUGUUUCAUUUUAACAUGUACUCAUCAAAUGCAGAGAAAGAUAUUUAUUAAUAUUUUAAUAUAUUGAGUUUUAUUAAAACAUUCUGGCAAAAUGAAAAUGAGUUUGACACUCCUGCCAUCCUCUACAUCACUGUUGAUUUAACUCCGCCAUGAGCAAAUAUCAGACUGCAGUCCCCUGUUAACAUACUGAUUACUCAAAAUUGCUCCAUACAACUCCAAUAAAAAACUCCAUCCUAAAUAA